UGGUGGGUUGCCUUGUCAGGUUGAUUCCGGUAACGAACGAGACCUCAGCCUGCUAAAUAGUCACUGCCGCUUUUUGCGACAGGCAGACUUCUUAGAGGGACUAUUGUCGUUUAGGCAAUGGAAGUAUGAGGCAAUAACA
rnacentral:rRNA from 1 species